rnacentral:rRNA from 1 species
CGGGGUGGAGUAACGCGUGGGUAACCUGCCUUAUACAGGGGGAUAACAGUUGGAAACGGCUGCUAAUACCGCAUAAGCGCACGGCAUCGCAUGAUGCAGUGUGAAAAACUCCGGUGGUAUAAGAUGGACCCGCGUUGGAUUAGCUAGUUGGUGAGGUAACGGCCCACCAAGGCGACGAUCCAUAGCCGACCUGAGAGGGUGACCGGCCACAUUGGGACUGAGACACGGCCCAA